rnacentral:snRNA from 1 species
GAAUGUGAGGGUGAUCUGGCUGCGACACCUGUCACCCAUUCAUAUAGGGUUUAUUCCGCUGGUACGGCUGGCAAGGUGGGUGUCCCCUUCCUCCCUGUCCAUCUGCCAGAGGAAGGAGAGGGCCACUCAUUGGUCAAGGGUAUGUGAGUCGCUGUGCUCCCCCGGCUAGAACCUCCCAGCGAGUUCCCAAUGGUAGCUCUCUGUGGGGAUAGGGCUGUUUCCAGGAAGUAAUCAAACCCUAUCCCAGACUGGGGGCCGCCCCUGGCUCACUCCCCAACUACUG